ensembl:lincRNA
GCUUUCAAAGCACUUGUGAGGCAGCUUUUGUCCAUUUUACUGAAUGACGUCCUGAGGCAGAAGGGGCUUUUCUACUGGAAUUUCCCUCCAUCUCUGAGGAUACUCUGGAAAUUUAAAUUUAAAAGCUCCUCUUGGCGCUUGCUCCCCGGCUCCCCAGUGCUCAGCGCCGGUGUCCGGGAAAGCUGGGAAGAGCCAUGCGGUUGGAGGCCCCUGCAGCCCCUCCUGGCUCUGUUGCGUUUGCGGAGGUGGUUAGUUCUGGAGCACCUCAUGUGCCGAGUGCGGACCUCGCUGACUAAUCGCCUCCGCGCGUAGAGGCGACCCAGUGUCUUGGGAGAACAAAGGGGAUCACUGUGCUUUCAGCUUUCCCGGACUGUUCCGGAGAGCCCAAGGUUGGCUUCCGCGAGAGUACCCAGCGUGCCGACUCGUCCUUCGGUUCUUCACGUCUGCAUCUCCUCCCUUUGGUCCUAAGGAAAAGCUGUCAGCAAGACUGGUGAACACAUGCGCGGUCUGAAGCCAGGACCCUAUCUAAUAAUCCUGCCCCCAGCUCAAGUUGAUUUGACCUGGAAUGAACCCCUGAGCCAAACUGAGCCAGUCGGAUUCUUUCCAUCAAUACUUUGGAAUUGGGAUUCACUCAGAGAUUCAUUCAUUGGGAUUCAUUAAAGCAGCAAUUGGAGUUACAGUAUUGUAAGUCUGAGAGCUGAGGCAUGGCUGUCUUCCAGGAUGGGACAAGGAAACAGAGAAUACCAGGCUGAAUAGAGACAAUGGAAUAAAUUACAUGAAUGAAGAAAAAUUAACAUGAGAGGUAAAAUACUCUCGGGCUUCCUUUUGGAUAUCUGGGUCCUGCUUAAAGUCUCUUGUGAGGCUUAGCUGUAUGCUUGUCCUUUGGUUUUGUAGGACAUUCCUGUAGCCUGGUGACGAAUUACUAAGUGUUUUUUUUUUUUUUUUUUUUUUUUACAGACAGGGUAUCACUCUGUUGCCCAGGCUAUAGUGCAGUUACGUGAUAAUGACUCACUGUAACCUCAAACUCCUGGGGUCAAGUGAUCCUUCCACCUUGGCCUCCUGAGUAGCUGGGACUACAGGUGUGUACUACCAUGCAUAAUUUUUAAAUUUUUUGUGGAGAUGGGGUGUUGCUAUAUGCUGGUCUCAAACUCCUGGCCUCAAGUGAUCCUCCCACCUUGGUCUCUCCAAAGUGCUGGGAUUAUAGGUGUAAGCCACUGAGCUGAGCAUAUACUACUACUUUAAGAAAGAUUUCAAACUAAGGGUAUUGGUACUAGGGGUUGGGUUGCAAACAUUAGCCCUUUAAAGAAAAUGUAGAAUUGGCUUAGUUGAAAUGAUAUGAAAUAGUAGUGAAAAAUGAGGAUUUAUCCUGAGUGGGCCAGGGAAAUAGCUUGAUUUUGUUUCACAGAUUUCACUAAUGAUGAUCAGAAUAGGAAAGAGAAAAAUGCCAAGAGAAAACCAUUCAGCAUACUCCUAUAGAGACCAAUAGAGAAAAUAACUGGAUAUGGAAACAAAAAUCCAGUGUAUUUCAGGUCACAAGUGUUCAGAAAAUGAGUUGAUAGACAUAUCAAUGUCUUCAGAUGGAGAAAGUGUAAGAAGUAAAACAUGCAUUCACUGCAGUGUCUAAAAAAAGAAUAAAAAGAAGCAAAGCAAAAUUCACAUUUUAGUGUAAUUAAAUAUGAGCACAUAAAAGUGAAAAAAUAAAGUGUAG